GUAUUAUAUGAAAGGAGAAAAGGUUAGCACGCCCCUUGACAAGAAUGGAAGAGGCCCUUGGGCCUAACAACACGCAUACACCUAAGGCAUUGCACCUACUCUGUGGCUUCUAACCAUAGUUUUUA
ensembl:snRNA